rnacentral:rRNA from 1 species
CCUACGGGUGGCAGCAGUGGGGAAUAUUGCACAAUGGGGGAAACCCUGAUGCAGCGACGCCGCGUGAGUGAAGAAGUAAUUCGUUACGUAAAGCUCUAUCAGCAGGGAAGAAACACUGACCUUACGGUCAGCAGACGGUACCUGAGUAAGAAGCCCCGGCUAACUACGUGCCAGCAGCCGCGGUAAUACGUAGGGGGCAAGCGUUAUCCGGAUUUACUGGGUGAAAAGGGAGCGUAGACGGUGCAGGAAGUCUGAGGUGAAAGGUCGGGGCCCAACCCCGGGACUGCAUUGGAAACUGUUGAACUGGAGUACAGGAGAGGGAAGCGGAAUUCCUAGGGUAGCGGGGAAAUGCGUAGAUAGUAGGGGGAACACCAGUGGCGAAGGCGGCUUACUGGACUGUAACUGACGUUGAGGCUCGAAAGCGUGGGGAGCAAACAGGAUUAGAUACCCCUGUAGU